rnacentral:tRNA from 1 species
GUCUGUGUAGCUUACAACUAAAGCAUGACACUGAAGAUGUCAAGACGGCUGCUACAAACACCCACAGACA